GGCACGGACCCCAACAAGUGGCGCAGCGAGCAGGGUCAGCACGGAGACCUAACCUUGAUGGGCCCCGUCUGCAAUGCACCUCCUGCAAAGAGACAGAGCUGUUUAAGUGAACUGACCUAUUUGGAGGACUAAUAGACGGAUUUAAAAAGGUGCCCAGGAAGUCCUGGAACUGAGUCCUGGGGCAAAGUUCUGGAAGGCGGGAAAAGAAGGUGAUCAGCGUGCUCAUGGAUGGCUUCUGACUCUCCAGGUUUCCUUGCAAGGGUACUCAAACGUGUGUAUGUGCAGCAAACCAUUGGAAAGCCAGAUAAUAGAUGACUGCCUGAAGAGCAUAACAAAAGAAAGGCGUAUUAUGUGAAGUAUUCAAAUCUCUCUCACAACAUCAGACUUACAUAUCCUAAUGUUAUCGCCUUCGGUAUAGGGAUCUAGAUGUCAGGAAGAUGGUUGAGUUUCCCCGGAUGACAUUUUCAGUUCUUAACAACAUGGGUAACAUUGUCCUUUGUAACUAUUUUUUCUUCUCUUCCAUUCAUUCUUGACUCACCAACUAAGCUUCUAAUUAACCUUUUGGUUAACUGAAAUAAAAUAAAAUAGCUGCUAUUAGUUAACAUUUAUUUUAAGUGCUUACAAUGUGCUAGAAAGCAUUUUCAUCAUGUUACAUUAAUUAUCUCAUUUAAUCCUCUCACCAAUCCUGCUAAAAACCAACAGUUUACAUUUCAGGAAACUAAACUGUAGACUGCUAAAUUAACAAGACUGAUUGGAGGUAAUUGUUAAGCCACAGAUGUAGUACUCAAACUCGAGUGUGUUUAAAUGUAAACAGUAAAUCUUCAAUCUCGGUGCCUUUCAUUUCUCCUCAUGAUAGGGCAAUCUUGCUCUUAUUUUUAUCUGCAUUUUGGGGAGUGUCAAACACCUCUAGAUUGCUUAAUAGUACCACCAACACUCUUACUACAGAUGAUAAUGCUGGGUUUCAAAAUAACGUGUUCAAGUUUCUCAGCUAUAAGGACUAGUAAGGGACCUGAACCUGAAUCUUCUUUUAAAACAGACACUUGCUGCAGAGGUGGCCUCCUCAUGGUAAGCUCGGUUCUUCCAUAUGUGAACAAAAUUCAAUAACUGACUGGGCAAAAGUUCUCUUUGGAGUAAUUAUUUCCUUGGGGAGCACUGCUGGUUAAGCCCACAGUAUAAAAUCCAAAGGGUUUCAUCAUUAUCAAGAGCAGGUCAGUUCAGUAUGGUAUGUGCACUUUUCUUUAAUUCAUUUUUACCAUCCCUGCAGUAAACAUGGUCAUAAAUAAGCCUAUCAAAACUCUAAUUUAAUGUUCAGAAUAUUCUCUUCAUUGCCAUGCAAACACUUAUCUCUACAGCCCUCUCAGUUAUCACAGGGACAGCUAGAGAUUUCCAUUUUGAGAAAAUUAACCUUUUAUUGCCCACCAUAGUUCUUCAAAGCCACUUGCUAUUGUUUACAUCUAAAUCACCCAGGAGUGACAAAUUGCAGCCACUGCAUAAGAAAAGAUUCUCUGGGAGGUCAAGGGCUUUCUUUCUCAGUUGCAAAAAAAAAAAAAAAAAAAAA